UGGGACAACAGAAGGAAACUUCUGCUAAUCCCGGAUGAGCCGUUAGGUAAAAGAUUAAUUGCCUGAAGAUGAGCUCGCGUCUGAUUAGCUAGUUGGUGUGGUAAAGGCAUACCAAGGCAACGAUCAGUAGCUGGUCUGAGAGGAUGAGCAGCCACACUGGGACUGAGACACGGCCCAGACUCCUACGGGAGGCAGCAGUGGGGAAUUUUCCGCAAUGGGCGAAAGCCUGACGGAGCAAGACCGCGUGGGGGAGGAAGGCUCUAGGGUUGUAAACCCCUUUUCUUUAGGAAGAAGUUCUGACGGUACUAAAGGAAUCAGCCUCGGCUAACUCCGUGCCAGCAGCCGCGGUAAUACGGAGGAGGCAAGCGUUAUCCGGAAUGAUUGGGCGUAAAGCGUCCGCAGGUGGCCAUGUAAGUCUGCUGUCAAAACCCAGGGCUCAACUCUGGUCAGGCAGUGGAAACUACGUAGCUAGAGUCUGGUAGGGGCAAAGGGAAUUCCCGGUGUAGCGGNUGAAAUGCGUAGAGAUCGGGAAGAACAUCGGUGGCGAAAGCGCUUUGCUAGACCAGAACUGACACUUCA
rnacentral:rRNA from 1 species